GCCCUAAGGGAUUCCAGUAGCUUCGACCUGGCGUCACGAUACUCUACGCACGACCACACGACAUGCUCGAUGUCCUGAUAACCGUCGCCACAGGUGCAGAGACCGCUCUCCGCAAGCCCAACACGCCGGAGAUGUGCGUUGAAGGUGUAGUGAUUUGACAUGAGCCGCGACAUAACACGAAUGAAAUCGCGACUCACGUUCAUCCCCAUGAACCAAGGUUUCGUCGAUACCCUAGGGAUAAUGGAAUGUAGCCAUCGUCCCAGUUCGCCAUUGCUCCAUGAAGUUUGCCAACUUUCGAGAGUUUUCUGACGAGAGAUACUGAAAAAUUCAUUGAAGCAGAUUGGUCUUUCAUAAAUAUCACCUUCCAAUGCGCCCACUUUAGCCAAUGAGUCUUCGUCGUAGAGUUCAGGAUUCAUCGCGGACAAUCUCUUGCAAGGUUCACUAGACUGAACCCGGACGAUUUCCUCUCCAAACUCCUGGUACUGGAUUACUCGGACAAUCACUUUCAUAGAUUCGUUUAACUCAUUCACUGUAGGAAAACGCUGCAAAACACGCUCAUUCUGGCUCUUUUUUGACGCGUUCUUGCAGAAACGCGACACAUACGCAAUAACACGUUGUAACUUUCUAAAGGACUCGAAUUUUGUAAAUACAGAGUGGGGGAGGAAUAUCUCUUUCAUACGAAUCACUUCGCAAGAACAAUGGGCCAUUCCACCACAAAUCGUUCUUCGCUAACUUGGUGGCAGACUGACCUCGCGAUAUAACAUCAGCUGGAUUCUCGUUGGUUCGUACAUAUCGCCAUUCAAAUUCCUCCUUCGUAGAGCCAUGCUAAAACCACCUGACUGUCUGACCACAGUACAAUAGAAUGGAAGCACAAGUCCAUCGCAGACACAGUUUUUCGCACAAGACGAUGGAGAAGUAAAGCAGCAACUAGCUCC